rnacentral:rRNA from 1 species
CAGCAGCCGCGGUAAAACGAAGGGGGCUAGCGUUGUUCGGAAUUACUGGGCGUAAAGCGCACGUAGGCGGAUAUUUAAGUCAGGGGUGAAAUCCCGCAGCUCAACUGCGGAACUGCCUUUGAUACUGGGUAUCUUGAGUAUGGAAGAGGUUAGUGGAAUUGCGAGUGUAGAGGUGAAAUUCGUAGAUAUUCGCAGGAACACCAGUGGCGAAGGCGGCUAACUGGUCCAUAACUGACGCUGAGGUGCGAAAGCGUGGGGAGCAAACAGGAUUAGAUACCCCGGUAGUCCCUGUCUCUUAUAC